GACAGAGGGUGCAAGCGUUGCUCGGAAUCACUGGGCGUAAAGGGUGCGUAGGCGGGUCUUUAAGUCAGGGGUGAAAUCCUGGAGCUCAACUCCAGAACUGCCUUUGAUACUGAAGAUCUUGAGUUCGGGGGAGGUGAGUGGAACUGCGAGUGUAGAGGUGAAAUUCGUAGAUAUUCGCAAGAACACCAGUGGCGAAGGCGGCUCACUGGCCCGAUACUGACGCUGAUGCACGAAAGCGUGGGGAGCAAACAGG
rnacentral:rRNA from 1 species